rnacentral:rRNA from 1 species
UCCUGCCUGCCCUGUGACUUGAGUUUAACGGCCGCGGUAUCUUGACCGUGCAAAGGUAGCGUAAUCACUUGUCUUUUAAAUGAAGACCCGUAUGAAUGGCAAAACGAGGGCUUAACUGUCUCCUCCCCCCAGUCAAUGAAAUUGAUCUCCCCGUGCAGAAGCGGGGAUGCCCACAUAAGACGAGAAGACCCUAUGGAGCUUUAGACACAUCGACAGAUCAUGUAAACCCCCUUAAUAAAAAGACAAAACCAACUGACCCCUGUCGUGAUGUCUUUGGUUGGGGCGACCCCGGGGAAAUAAAAAACCCCCGAACGGAAUAAAGACACUUCAACUUUAUAAGCAAGAGCCACAGCUCUCAAAAUCAGAACCUCUGACCCAAAGAUCCGAUAUUAUCGAUCAACGGACCGAGUUACCCUAGGGAUAACAGCGCAAUCCCCUUUCAGAGCCCCUAUCGACAAGGGGGUUUACGACCUCGAUGUUGGAUCAGGACAUCCUAAUGGUGCAGCCGCUAUUAAGGGUUCGUUUGUUCAACGAUUAAAGUCCU